GAUGAACGCUGGCGGCAGGCUUAACACAUGCAAGUCGAGCGGAGUGAUGGUGCUUGCACUAUCACUUAGCGGCGGACGGGUGAGUAAUGCUUAGGAAUCUGCCUAUUAGUGGGGGACAACAUCUCGAAAGGGAUGCUAAUACCGCAUACGUCCUACGGGAGAAAGCAGGGGAUCACUUGUGACCUUGCGCUAAUAGAUGAGCCUAAGUCGGAUUAGCUAGUUGGUGGGGUAAAGGCCUACCAAGGCGACGAUCUGUAGCGGGUCUGAGAGGAUGAUCCGCCACACUGGGACUGAGACACGGCCCAGACUCCUACGGGAGGCAGCAGUGGGGAAUAUUGGACAAUGGGGGGAACCCUGAUCCAGCCAUGCCGCGUGUGUGAAGAAGGCCUUAUGGUUGUAAAGCACUUUAAGCGAGGAGGAGGCUCUUUUGGUUAAUACCCAAGAUGAGUGGACGUUACUCGCAGAAUAAGCACCGGCUAACUCUGUGCCAGCAGCCGCCGUAA
rnacentral:rRNA from 1 species